rnacentral:piRNA from 1 species
UAGUGAUAUCUUAUUACUAAA